rnacentral:rRNA from 1 species
UGGGGGAUAUUGCACAAUGGGCGAAAGCCUGAUGCAGCGACGCCGCGUGGGGGAUGAAGGCCUUCGGGUUGUAAACUUCUUUUGCUCUGAACAAGGCAUGCUAAUGGGUGUGUUGAGUGUAGGGGUUGAUUAGCGCCGGCUAACUACGUGCCAGCAGCCGCGGUAAUACGUAGGGCGCGAGCGUUGUCCGGAAUUAUUGGGCGUAAAGGGCUUGUAGGUGGCUGGUUGCGUCUGUCGUGAAAGCUCAUGGCUUAAUUGUGGGUUUGCGGUGGGUACGGGCUGGCUUGAGUGCAGUAGGGGAGGCUGGAAUUCCUGGUGUAGCGGCGGAAUGCGCAGAUAUCAGGAGGAAUACCGGUGGCGAAGGCGGGUCUCUGGGCCGUUACUGACACUGAGGAGCGAAAGCAUGGGGAGCGAACAGG